UGCAGGCGCACUCUGAGUCACAUUGAAUUAUCUCAUGUGAUGACUAUUUGUUAACCUUGCUAUAGAAAAUGAGAGCUGCGAUUUAUCCAUGUGAUCCUGUACUUUGAAUGGAUUGCAUUGAAAACGCGGCUUACACUCG